GCAUCAGCACAGAGGGACAUGAGCCAAGAGGGACUCGCGUCACAUGCACAGCUGGAGGAUUUUACAUUUCAACAUCGCUCUGAAGCAUUUGUGUUUAGGAAAAAAGAAGAACUUGGUCAGUCUGAUUGCAGUCCAAAGAUUUGACAGAAGAAGGAGUCAAAGACAGAGAAAGAAACAGGGUGGUCUUAUGCUUCACUAUGGGAAGAGACACAGAGCAGAUACAGUCCUGAGAACCAACAGAUGUGUAAAGAGUUUUAUACUGUCAAUACAGUUGGCAGACAGGAAAUGGGAUGAAGAGUGGAGAAGACAUUGGGCACAGGUUGCUGUGGCGGAGACUCCAACCAGGGAACAGCCGUGUCGAGGGCCAAAUACAUGGCCAGCAUGCUGUACCACUGCUCCAGCGCCAUGCAGUUCAUAAGAACUGAUAACAGAAUGUAGCAAAGUGCAUUUUUGUUGUUGUUGUUGUGAGGCAGGAAGAAAAUAAAUAUUAACGGCAAAAUGUUUAUAUUUUACAGUAUUUUAUAUUCUUUUAGGCUCCUUUUUUAAAAGAUGUUUGGGAGCCGACUUGGUCAAUGAAUGGAUAUAAAUGGUUCGGAUCUUGGCACCGUGGCGGAAUUCCCUGGCACUAAGCUGAUUCUGAAGAAGUGAAAGUGACGUUUCUAACGCUGGCCAGCAGAUGGAGCCAUUAUUCCGAAGACUCUUAUUAAAGUACACAGGGGAAGCUUUGUCAAUUUUAAUAGACAGUGGAAAGGACAUUGUAGACUUUCUCUUCACAUCUGCGAUAGACAAGCUAUAUUGUAUUGAAUUAUUUAUUUAUAUUGAUAUUCAUUUGAGAAUAAAACGUUUUGUUAAUUAACUGAAUUAUCAAAUAAGUAAUUACACUGGUUCCAACAUAU